CCCUUAGAUGUUCUGGGCUGCACGCGCGCUACACUGAUGCGCUCAACGAGUUUAUGACCUUGCCCGGAAGGGUUGGGUAAUCUUCUUAAAACGCAUCGUGAUGGGGAUAGAUUAUUGCAAUUAUUAAUCUUCAACGAGGAAUUCCUAGUAAGCACAAGUCAUCAGCUUGUGUUGAUUACGUCCCUGCCCUUUGUACACACCGCCCGUCGCUCCUACCGAUUGAAUGUUCCGGUGAGCUCUUCGGACUGCGCGGUCUGCAGUUUCUGCGUUCCGUGCGGAAAGUUGUGCAAACCUUAACAUUUAGAGGAAGGAGAAGUCGUAACA
rnacentral:rRNA from 1 species